rnacentral:rRNA from 1 species
AGCUACAGGCUUAACACAUGCAAGUCGAGGGGCAGCAUGGUCUUAGCUUGCUAAGGCCGAUGGCGACCGGCGCACGGGUGAGUAACACGUAUCCAACCUGCCGUCUACUCUUGGACAGCCUUCUGAAAGGAAGAUUAAUACAAGAUGGCAUCAUGAGUCCGCAUGUUCACAUGAUUAAAGGUAUUCCGGUAGACGAUGGGGAUGCGUUCCAUUAGAUAGUAGGCGGGGUAACGGCCCACCUAGUCUUCGAUGGAUAGGGGUUCUGAGAGGAAGGUCCCCCACAUUGGAACUGAGACACGGUCCAAACUCCUACGGGAGGCAGCAGUGAGGAAUAUUGGUCAAUGGGCGAGAGCCUGAACCAGCCAAGUAGCGUGAAGGAUGACUGCCCUAUGGGUUGUAAACUUCUUUUAUAAAGGAAUAAAGUCGGGUAUGUAUACCCGUUUGCAUGUACUUUAUGAAUAAGGAUCGGCUAACUCCGUGCCAGCAGCCGCGGUAAUACGGAGGAUCCGAGCGUUAUCCGGAUUUAUUGGGUUUAAAGGGAGCGUAGAUGGAUGUUUAAGUCAGUUGUGAAAGUUUGCGGCUCAACCGUAAAAUUGCAGUUGAUACUGGAUAUCUUGAGUGCAGUUGAGGCAGGCGGAAUUCGUGGUGUACCGGUGAAAUGCUUAGAU